UACGUAGGUGGCAAGCGUUGUCCGGAAUAACUGGGCGUAAAGCGCAUGUAGACGGCAUAGCAAGCCAAGUGUGAAAUUUAGGGGCUUAACCUCUAAACUGCGCUUGGAACUGCUGAGCUUGAGUGCAGGAGAGGCAAGUGGAAUUCCCAGUGUAGCAGUGAAAUGCGUAGAUAUUGGGAGGAACACCAGUGGCGAAGGCGACUUGCUGGACUGCAACUGACGUUGAGAUGCGAAAGCUAGGGGAGCAAACGGG
rnacentral:rRNA from 1 species